CCUCCGACGCACCUGGUCUCGGUGUGGUUGUCGCACCACUCCUUUUCCCGGCCAAUGUAUUUCAUUUUCCAUUUUUAUUUAUGUUGCUUACGGUUUUUUUGUGGACCAAACCCACUCCCCGCAGUUUCUGGACCUAUUCUAACUGCAAACGGGGCAAGCGAUGGGAGGUUUCGGCGGCGAGCGGUAGCUGCGUGCGGCGUUGGUGCGGCCCCGUUUUCCGGCGGCGGGGUCGAGGCGGGUAGUGCUGAGGGAGGCUUCGUGGCUGGUGGUGGCCUCCUCGGCCGGCCGCCCCGCGGGAGGCUUCGCGGCAUGGUGGUUAGCCUGCACCUUGCGGGUAACCUCGACGACGUUGAUCACUAUGGAUAGCUCGACAAGUUCACCGAGCAGGCAUUUUUACCUCCGCCAUGUUGUGUUUCUCUCUCGUCUUGAACGACGGAGGCAGCGGUUCAACCGCUCGGUGAUCUCGGUGUGCAUAGAGGAGGGCUGUGUGUCGCGGCGGCAGCCAACAGGAGAUGCAGCGGCUCGACCUCCUCUGUGACCUCAUCUCCAGUUGAAAUUGACAAGGCUGCCUCCCUGAACUCGCGCCGGCUGGAAUCAAUUGCGGCCUAGGUAACUCAGCGCCACUAGAGCUUCAGGUGCCUCACAAGUCACAAGAAAUCAAAAGUUCUAUCAUCAAAUUUUAGUCGACGAGGUAAAUCCUGCUAGCCACGUGUGUCAUGGCGGCGGCGGCGGCUCGCCGCCACCAUUCCCAUUUCAUCUUCGCUCUGCAAGGUAAUAGAAGGAGGGCUCUAAUGGGAAUGAUGCUUGCCACCCCCACCUUCAUGACUGCUCCAGAUCCAUUCAAGGUGGUCAUCACUGUUAAAUCGUCCAGCGAGCUCAGUACCGUCCUACUCUCCCUAAAAUGCACAGUUGCAGAAACAACAUCUAUUGUGCACCAAAAAGGAUAAUUUCCCAUGUGUAAAAUGAGAUUUAUAUAUCAAAAGUUUUUGUCUGUUGAUAUUUUGGCGGUUCUCUUCCCUUCUGCACUGCUGCUGGAAGUGAUGAGAGAAUUUGUGCAUACAGUUGUGGUCAUUAGUAAAUAUAUCAUUCGAGUUGAAAGGUUGGAGCGUAUGCAUUAACAUUUUCAAGUGGAUACUUUGGUACUUGAUUUUAUAAUCAUUUGAAAUCCGAAUAUCACGUUGCAUUGUGAUAUUUCUAACUGAAAAUUUUCACUAUUAGUUAUGCAUAUUUUGGUGGAAUUUCUAACACUGUUGUUCUUUCAAGCAUAUAAUGUUCUUUAGAAAUUUAAUAGUUCAUACUGGAAUCCUUUUGAAUGUAUAGUUUUAUUAUGUUUUCAAAAUUUUAAGCAGAUAAUGGAUGAACAUGUUUUUUUUGCAUCACCAUGCUUUGUAUCUAGUUUUACAACAUCACCAUGUAUAGUCUGUGUUUGUGUUUGUUCUAGAUUGUCUGCUGCACACCCAGGUGAUUGCGUCUCGUAUAUCUCUUAUGAAAUAGAAAGUCUCUGAUCACCAAAUCCGUAUAGGUCAUAGUGAGACAUUUCUCAGAAAUACUACUCCGGUAUGCGGCACAGUUUGGUAGUUCUAUGUACACUGACUCACUGACCCGUAGGGUUUUCUUUAUUUUGUAGUACUACAUGUGUGCAAGAAUAAAUAAAAUGUGGUCGUCUCCGUAGACUUUUGAGCUGUUCCAAUUUGUAUUAGAUCUGCAAUAUUUAUGUAAGUUCAGUUUUUGUUAUUUUUUUAAUUUAGGUUGGGAGAGUAUUAAUAUUGAUAGUAGUUGUGGUUCUGGUUGGAGUAAUUUAUCAUACCACCUCACCUAAGGAUAUUUGUGUCUAGCUCAAUCAAGUGUCAUAUCAUUUCUUUCAGGCUUACAAGCUCAGCGGUUCGUAGAAAUCUGCAGUUUUUAGUUAAGUGGUUAGUGUUUAGAUAUUCUUGUGAUAGAUCAUCAAGACAUUCUGGCUUUUCUUGAUUAAAUGUUCUGUUUUCUGUAAUCGAAGAUUCACAAUGGAUGAUUGAGAAUGAUAAAGC